GACGAACGCUGGCGGCGUGCUUAACACAUGCAAGUCGAACGGAAAGGCCCUGCUUUUGUGGGGUGCUCGAGUGGCGAACGGGUGAGUAACACGUGAGUAGCCUGCCCUUGACUUUGGGAUAACUUCAGGAAACUGGGGCUAAUACCGGAUAGGAGCUCCUGCUGCAUGGUGGGGGUUGGAAAGUUUCGGCGGUUGGGGAUGGACUCGCGGUUUAUCAGCUUGUUGGUGGGGUAGUGGCUUACCAAGGCUUUGACGGGUAGCCGGCCUGAGAGGGUGACCGGCCACAUUGGGACUGAGAUACGGCCCAGACUCCUACGGGAGGCAGCAGUGGGGAAUAUUGCACAAUGGGCGGAAGCCUGAUGCAGCAACGCCGCGUGCGGGAUGACGGCCUUCGGGUUGUAAACCGCUUUCGCCUGUGACGAAGCGUGAGUGACGGUAAUGGGUAAAGAAGCACCGGCUAACUACGUG
rnacentral:rRNA from 1 species